GCUGGGCAUGGUGGCGCAUGCCUGUAGUCCCGGCUACUCUGGAAGCUGAGGCAGGAGAAUCGCUUGAACCCAGGAGGUGGAGGUUGCAGUGAGCUGAGAUUGCACCACUGCAUUCUAGCCUGGGUGACAGAGUGAGACUCCGUCUCAA
rnacentral:SRP_RNA from 1 species